rnacentral:rRNA from 1 species
UGCAAGUCAGGCGGCUCAGCAAUGGGUCACCGGCGAACGGGUGCGUAACACGUGAGCAACCUGCCCAAGUGUGGGGGAUAGCCGGCCCAACGGCCGGGUAAUACCGCAUACGCUUCCUAGGGGGCAUUCCCAGGGAAGGAAACCUUCGGGGCACAUGGAGGGGCUCGCGGCUUAUCAGCUAGUUGGUGGGGUAAUGGCUCACCAAGGCUACGACGGGUAGCUGGUCUGAGAGGAUGGCCAGCCACAUUGGGACUGAGAUACGGCCCAGACUCCUACGGGAGGCAGCAGUGGGGAAUAUUGCGCAAUGGCCGAAAGGCUGACGCAGCGACGCCGCGUGGGGGAGGAAGGUCUUCGGAUUGUAAACCCCUGUUGCCCGGGACGAAUCCUGGUUUCGACCAGAUUGACGGUACCGGGUGAGGAAGCACCGGCUAACUCUGUGCCAGCAGCCGCGGUAAUACAGAGGGUGCGAGCGUUGUCCGGAAUCACUGGGCGUAAAGGGCGCGUAGGUGGCUUGCCAAGCGUGUGGUGAAAGCCCGGAGCUCAACUCCGGGUCGGCCAUGCGAACUGGCAGGCUAGAGCACGGUAGAGGCCAAUGGAAUUCCGGGUGUAGCGGUGGAAUGCGUAGAGAUCGGCAGGAACACCAAGGACGAAGGUACCAACCUGGGCACUCACUGACACUCAUGUGCGACCGCGUGUGGGAGCGAACCGGAUUAGAUACCCGGGUAGUCCACGCCGUAAACGAUGGAUGCUCGGCGUUUGUGGGAGAGAUCCUGUGGGCGCCUCAUCUGACGCAAUAAGCAUCCCGCCUGGGAACUACGAGCGCAAGCUUAAACUCAAAGGAUUGACGGGGGCCCGCACAAGCAGCGGAGCGUGUGGCUUAAUUCGACGCAACCCGCAUCACUUUACCAGACUGACAUGGCACUGCACGC